rnacentral:rRNA from 1 species
UGGUGGGGGCUAUACAUGCAGUAGAACGCUGAAGAGAGGAGCUUGCUCUUCUUGGAUGAGUUGCGAACGGGUGAGUAACGCGUAGGUAACCUGCCUUGUAGCGGGGGAUAACUAUUGGAAACGAUAGCUAAUACCGCAUAACAAUAGGUGACACAUGUCAUUUAUUUGAAAGGGGCAAUUGCUCCACUACAAGAUGGACCUGCGUUGUAUUAGCUAGUAGGUGAGGUAACGGCUCACCUAGGCGACGAUACAUAGCCGACCUGAGAGGGUGAUCGGCCACACUGGGACUGAGACACGGCCCAGACUCCUACGGGAGGCAGCAGUAGGGAAUCUUCGGCAAUGGGGGCAACCCUGACCGAGCAACGCCGCGUGAGUGAAGAAGGUUUUCGGAUCGUAAAGCUCUGUUGUAAGUCAAGAACGAGUGUGAGAGUGGAAAGUUCACACUGUGACGGUAGCUUACCAGAAAGGGACGGCUAACUACGUGCCAGCAGCCGCGGUAAUACGUAGGUCCCGAGCGUUGUCCGGAUUUAUUGGGCGUAAAGCGAGCGCAGGCGGUUUGAUAAGUCUGAAGUUAAAGGCUGUGGCUCAACCAUAGUUCGCUUUGGAAACUGUCAAACUUGAGUGCAGAAGGGGAGAGUGGAAUUCCAUGUGUAGCGGUGAAAUGCGUAGAUAUAUGGAGGAACACCGGUGGCGAAAGCGGCUCUCUGGUCUGUAACUGACGCUGAGGCUCGAAAGCGUGGGGAGCGAACAGGAUUAGAUACCCUGGUAGUCCACGCCGUAAACGAUGAGUGCUAGGUGUUGGAUCCUUUCCGGGAUUCAGUGCCGCAGCUAACGCAUUAAGCACUCCGCCUGGGGAGUACGACCGCAAGGUUGAAACUCAAAGGAAUUGACGGGGGCCCGCACAAGCGGUGGAGCAUGUGGUUUAAUUCGAAGCAACGCGAAGAACCUUACCAGGUCUUGACAUCCCGAUGCUAUUUCUAGAGAUAGAAAGUUACUUCGGUACAUCGGUGACAGGUGGUGCAUGGUUGUCGUCAGCUCGUGUCGUGAGAUGUUGGGUUAAGUCCCGCAACGAGCGCAACCCCUAUUGUUAGUUGCCAUCAUUCAGUUGGGCACUCUAGCGAGACUGCCGGUAAUAAACCGGAGGAAGGUGGGGAUGACGUCAAAUCAUCAUGCCCCUUAUGACCUGGGCUACACACGUGCUACAAUGGUUGGUACAACGAGUUGCGAGUCGGUGACGGCAAGCUAAUCUCUUAAAGCCAAUCUCAGUUCGGAUUGUAGGCUGCAACUCGCCUACAUGAAGUCGGAAUCGCUAGUAAUCGCGGAUCAGCACGAGGGGGUGAAUGCGUUCCGGGGCCUUGUAGGCGCCUCCCGUCGCCCCAGGGGGGGUUCCACAGCGGACCUGGAGAGGUCACAGUUUGGAGGCAGAGGCUUUAAGGUGGAAUGGC